GCAGGGGGGAGCUACCAUGCAGUCGAGCGGAAACAAAUAGUAGCUUGCUACUCUGGUGACGAGCGGCGGACGGGUGAGUAAUGCUUGGGAACAUGCCUUGAGGUGGGGGACAACAGUUGGAAACGACUGCUAAUACCGCAUAAUGUCUACGGACCAAGGGGGGCUUCGGCUCUCGCCUUUAGAUUGGCCCAAGUGGGAUUAUCUAUUUGGUGAGGUAGUGGCUCACCAAGGCGACGAUCCCUAUCUGGUUUGAGAGGAUGAUCACCCACACUGGGACUGAGACACGGCCCACACUCCUACGGGAGGCAGCAGUGGGGAAUAUUGCACAAUGGGCGCAAGCCUGAUGCACCCAUGCCGCGUGUGUGAAAAAGGCCUUCGGGUUGUAAAGCACUUUCAGUCAGGAGGAAAGGUUAGUAGUUAAUACCUGCUAUCUGUGACGUUACUGACAGAAGAAGCACCGGCUAACUCCGUGCCAGCAGCCGCGGUAAUACGGAGGGUGCGAGCGUUAAUCGGAAUUACUGGGCGUAAAGCGUACGCAGGCGGUUUGUUAAGCGAGAUGUGAAAGCCCCGGGCUCAACCUGGGAACUGCAUUUCAAACUGGCAAACUAGAGUGUGAUAGAGGGUGGUAGAAUUUCAGGUGUAGCGGUGAAAUGCGUAGAGAUCUGAAGGAAUACCGAUGGCGAAGGCAGCCACCUGGGUCAACACUGACGCUCAUGUACGAAAGCGUGGAGAGCAAACAAGAUUAUAUCUGUG
rnacentral:rRNA from 1 species